CAUUUUUAAACAGUUUCAUUUUAGAAAUAAAAGUAAGUGAAAUCGAGUAAAGAAAGAAAGAAAGAUCAAUAUGUUUCUUAAUUGUUGGUGAUGACUGACGUCAAACAUUCAGUUUAACUUAAUUUCAGUCACAAAAUACGGGAAGUUAAUUUCAAAACAGAACCAGAAUAGCUGACUUUAAUGUUGGACAAAACCUCAGGGAAAUAAACUCCAUGAAAAUAUUCUUUAAGAAUAGUGUAGAUGAUGAUUUUCAAUCUUUUUAAAAGGGCUUUUGUUUCCUCUCAUCUUAAUGUUUUUUGUCCGUAUUGAUUCGAGCAGGAAGGAGUGAUAGUCUCAAGGGGCAGAGGAGCAUAAGAAUUAUGGGUACAAAUUUUG
rnacentral:lncRNA from 1 species